rnacentral:miRNA from 1 species
UUUGUACCAGCUCAUAGAUAGAUA